GUGUCCGACCAUGAGGCGUGCUCGGAUAUAGGCAGGGAUAUUCUUGAGCGCCAAGGCACAGCGGUAGAUGCAGCAAUCGCCACUUUGCUCUGCAACGGGGUUCGUACACCGCACAGCAUGGGCAUCGGUGGAGACACAAUGGCGCUCCAGAGACAUAAGAGGGAGAUAAAUUCAUGUUAGCAUCAAGGUA